GUGUUCUCUCUAGGCUCCGGCAUGACGGGUGACUUCUUCCGAGUCUGGCUUCUGCAGCACACAGGGCUUCGCCAGCACCCAGCUCCUGCAGCAUGGGCAGCUCCUGUGACAGCAGGCGCCCGCAGCCUGCAAAGCGUCUCCAGUGCCGCCGCCUCAGUGAACCUCAACCAGCGGCACCUAGCAGCUUUCUCUGCCACCCUCUUCAGGUAGACAUCCCUGUAGAAGUUCUGCUGCGUGUGGUCCAGCCGUCCCCACUCCUCCCGGGAGAGGUACAAGGCCACAUCCUCGAAAGUCACUGGCAUCUGAAACAAUGUGAAACAUCCACUC
rnacentral:lncRNA from 1 species